rnacentral:rRNA from 1 species
GAGAGUAAGGGCGCACGGUGGAUGCCUUGGCACUAGGAGCCGAAGAAGGACGUGACAAACGACGAAAUGCCUCGGGGAGCUGUAAGUAAGCGCUGAUCCGGGGAUGUCCGAAUGGGGGAACCCAACAGGUACUACCUGUUACCCAUCUCUGUUAAGGAGAUGAGGAGGAAGACGCAGUGAACUGAAACAUCUAAGUAGCUGCAGGAAGAGAAAGCAAAAGCGAUUGCCUUAGUAGCGGCGAGCGAAACGGCAGGAGGGCAAACCGAAGAGUUUACUCUUCGGGGUUGUAGGACUGCAAUGUGGACUCAGAUUUUAUAGAAGAAUGACAUGGGAAGGUCAGCCAAAGAGAGUAAGAGCCUCGUAUUUUAAAUAGAAUCUGUACCUAGCAGAAUCCUGAGUACGGCGGGACACGUGAAAUCCCGUCGGAAUCUGGGAGGACCAUCUCCCAACCCUAAAUACUCCCUAGUGACCGAUAGUGAACCAGUACCGUGAGGGAAAGGUGAAAAGUACCCCGGGAGGGGAGUGAAAUAGUACCUGAAACCGUGUGCUUACAAUCCGUCAGAGCCUCUUUUGUGGGGUGAUGGCGUGCCUUUUGAAGAAUGAGCCUGCGAGUCAGCGGCAUGUCGCGAGGUUAACCCGUGUGGGGUAGUCGUAGCGAAAGCGAAUCCUAACGAGGGUGUUUUUUAGUGGCAUGUUCUGGACCCGAAGCGGGGUGAUCUACCCAUGGCCAGUGUGAAGCAGCUGUAAGAGGUUGUGGAGGCGCGAACCCACGUAGGUUAAAAACUGCGGGGAUGAGCUGUGGGUAGGGGUGAAAGGCCAAUCAAACUGGGAGAUAGCUCGUACUCCCCGAAAUGCAUUUAGGUGCAGCGUUGCGUGGUUCUUGUUGGAGGUAGAGCACUGGAUGGUCUAGGGGGCUUAUCGGCUUACCGAAAUCAGCCAAACUCCGAAUGCUGGCAAGUGUAGCGUGGCAGUGAGACGGCGGGGGAUAAGCUUCGUCGUCGAGAGGGAAACAACCCAGACCACCGACUAAGGCCCCUAAGCGUGUGCUAAGUGGGAAAGGAUGUGGAGUUGCAUAGACAACCAGGAGGUUGGCUUAGAAGCAGCCACCCUUGAAAGAGUGCGUAAUAGCUCACUGGUCAAGU